UAGUGAACCAGUACCGCGAGGGAAAGGUGAAAAGAACCCCGGGAGGGGAGUGAAAUAGUACCUGAAACCGUUGGUUUACAAGCAGUCAGAGAGUCGUUGUACCGUUCGCGGUGCAGCCUCGAUGGCGUGCCUUUUGAAGAAUGAGCCUACGAGUUACGGUAUGUGGCGAGGUUAACCCGAGAGGGGUAGCCGAAGCGAAAGCGAGUCUGAACAGGGCGUUCAGUCGCAUGCUGUAGACCCGAAGCCAAGUGAUCUUGCCAUGGUCAGGUUGAAACGGGGGUAAGACCCCGUGGAGGACCGAACAGGUACCAGUUGAAAAUGGUUCUGAUGAACUGUGGUAAGGGGCGAAAGACCAAUCAAACUUGGCGAUAGCUGGUUCUCCUCGAAAUGCAUUUAGGUGCAGCGUUGCACGUUCAAUUCCGGAGGUAGAGCACUGGAUGGGCUAGAGGUCCAACAAGAUUAUCGACCCCAGCCAAACUCCGAAUUACGGAAUUCCAGAGUGCAGCAGUGAGACCAUGGGGGAUGAGCUUCAUUGGUCGAAAGGGAAACAGCCCAGAUCAUCAGCUAAGGCCCCAAAUUCAGGACUAAGUGUAAAACGAUGUGAAAUUGCUUAGACAGCCAGGAGGUUGGCUUAGAAGCAGCCACCCUUGAAAGAGUGCGUAACAGCUCACUGGUCGAGUGAUUUUGCGCGGACAAUGUAACGGGGCUCAAGUCCUGAGCCGAAGCUAUGGAUUGCAACGAGAUUCGUCUCGUUGCAGUGGUAGAGGAGCGUUGAUGGAGUGCCGAAGCGACGAGGUAACUCGGCGUGGAGUUCCAUCAAGUGAGAAUGUAGGUAUGAGUAGCGAGAGAGGGGUGAGAAACCCCUCCGCCGAAUGCCCAAGGUUUCCUGGGGAAGGCUAAUCCUCCCAGGGUAAGUCGGGAGCUAAGGAGAGGCCGCGAGGCGUAUCCGAUGCACAACUGGUUGAUAUUCCAGUACCGCCGUGUACACGUCAAGCCCAAUUUCGAUAAAGCGGAGGCUGCCUUCGGGCGAAUCCGCGUAGUUGAAGGCGGGUAACUAAUGCGGGACACAGCAGGAUAGGUGAUCCGGAUUAAUGGAUUUCCGGGUAAGCGCGUAGGUGGGUUGCGAUGAAAGUCGCGGCCGUAACACCGAGACGCAAUACCGACCUCGUUUGAGGGAAGUCACUGAUUCCACACUGUCGAGAAAAGCGCAGUAGUGAGUUGACACGGCGCCCGUACCCCAAACCGACUCAGGUGGGCGCGUAGAGAAUACGAAGGCGAUCGGGAGAACUGUGGUUAAGGAACUCGGCAAAUUACCUCCGUAACUUCGGGAUAAGGAGGACCCAUGAUGGUAAGAGACUUCGCGUCUCGAAGCCAAUGUGGGUGUCACAAACUAGGGAGCAGCGACUGUUUAACAAAAACACAGCAGCGUGCCAAGCCGCAAGGCGAUGUAUACGCUGUGACGCCUGCCCAAUGCUGGAAGGUCACGAGGAUGAGUUAGCCGCAAGGCGAAGCUUUGAAUCUAAGCCCCAGUGAAUGGCGGCCGUAACUAUAACGGUCCUAAGGUAGCGAAAUUCCUUGUCGGGUAAGUUCCGACCUGCACGAAUGGCGUAACGACUUCCCCGCUGUCUCAACCGUAGACCCGGCGAAAUUGAAGUACGAGUAAAGAUGCUCGUUUGCUGCGGAAGGACGGAAAGACCCCGUGGACCUUUACUAUAACUUGAUGUUGAGCUUCGACUUGCGCUGUGUAGGAUAGGUGGGAGGCUGUGAAGCGAGUGCGCUAGCACUUGUGGAGCCAUUGGUGAAAUACCACCCUGCGUAAUUUGGAGCUCUAACCUCGGCCCGUGAUCCGGGUCAGGAACAGCGUCAGGCGGGUAGUUUGACUGGAACAUAUCGUGACUGGGAAAC
rnacentral:rRNA from 1 species